rnacentral:rRNA from 1 species
UACGUAGGGUGCGAGCGUUGUCCGGAAUUACUGGGCGUAAAGAGCUCGUAGGUGGUUUGUCGCGUUGUUCGUGAAAACUCACAGCUCAACUGUGGGCGUGCGGGCGAUACGGGCAGACUAGAGUACUGCAGGGGAGACUGGAAUUCCUGGUGUAGCGGUGGAAUGCGCAGAUAUCAGGAGGAACACCGGUGGCGAAGGCGGGUCUCUGGGCAACAACUGACGCUGGAGGAGCGAAAGCGUGGGGAGCGAACAGGA